ACGAACGCUGGCGGCGUGGAUAAGACAUGCAAGUCGAACGGGAUUACUUUUGUAGCAAUACAGAAGUAAUUCAGUGGCGAACGGGUGCGUAACACGUGGGCAAUCUGCCGAAAAGUGGGGGAUAGCUCGCCGAAAGGCGAAUUAAUACCGCAUGUGGUGAGGGACGACAUCUUCCUGAAUCCAAAGCCGGGGCAACCUGGCGCUUUUUUGAGGAGCCCGCGGCCUAUCAGCUUGUUGGCGGGGUAACGGCCCACCAAGGCUAUGACGGGUAGCUGGUCUGAGAGGACGACCAGUCACACUGGAACUGAGACACGGUCCAGACACCUACGGGUGGCAGCAGUGGGGAAUCUUGCGCAAUGGGCGAAAGCCUGACGCAGCGACGCCGCGUGAGGGAUGACGGCCUUCGGUUGU
rnacentral:rRNA from 1 species